UGGGGAAUAUUGGGCAAUGGGCGCAAGCCUGACCCAGCAACGCCGCGUGAAGGAAGAAGGCUUUCGGGUUGUAAACUUCUUUUCUGAGGGACGAUAGUGACGGUACCUCAGGAAUAAGCCACGGCUAACUACGUGCCAGCAGCCGCGGUAAUACGUAGGUGGCAAGCGUUAUCCGGAUUUACAGGGUGUAAAGGGCGUGUAGGCGGGAUGGUAAGUCAGAUGUGAAAACUAUGGGCUCAACCCAUAGCCUGCAUUUGAAACUAUCGUUCUUGAGUGUUGGAGAGGCAGGCGGAAUUCCGUGUGUAGCGGUGAAAUGCGUAGAUAUACGGAGGAACACCAGUGGCGAAGGCGGCCUGCUGGACAAUAACUGACGCUGAGGCGCGAAAGCGUGGGGAGCAAACAGG
rnacentral:rRNA from 1 species